rnacentral:rRNA from 1 species
CCUACGGGAGGCAGCAGUGGGGAAUUUUGGACAAUGGGGGCAACCCUGAUCCAGCAAUGCCGCGUGUGUGAAGAAGGCCUUCGGGUUGUAAAGCACUUUUGUCCGGAAAGAAAUCCCCUGGGAUAAUACCUCGGGGGGAUGACGGUACCGGAAGAAUAAGCACCGGCUAACUACGUGCCAGCAGCCGCGGUAAUACGUAGGGUGCGAGCGUUAAUCGGAAUUACUGGGCGUAAAGCGUGCGCAGGCGGUUUUGUAAGACAGGCGUGAAAUCCCCGAGCUCAACUUGGGAAUGGCGCUUGUGACUGCAAGGCUAGAGUAUGUCAGAGGGGGGUAGAAUUCCACGUGUAGCAGUGAAAUGCGUAGAGAUGUGGAGGAAUACCGAUGGCGAAGGCAGCCCCCUGGGACGUCACUGACGCUCAUGCACGAAAGCGUGGGGAGCAAACAGGAUUAGAUACCCUGGUAGUCCACGCCCUAAAGCGAUGUCAACUAGUUGUUGGGG